rnacentral:tRNA from 1 species
GCGGAUGUAGGCAAGGUAAUAUAGGCAGUGGAUUGUGAAUCCACCAUGCGCGGGUUCAAUUCCCGUCGUUCGCC